UUUAUAUCAAACUAAAAUGACUAAAAUCCAAUGCUGGAAGUUGCUCGGAGCUGGCAGAAAGUGAUGGUAAAAAUUUGGAGGGAAGGUCGAUUUUGAUGGCGCUCAUAUGGUAGCUGACUUUUAGUGCGGGAUUUACAUUCUCAACACACCUCUGAAUGUGUGAUUUUAAAACCGUACAAAUAGAGUCGUGAACAACAUAUAUUAGGU